rnacentral:rRNA from 1 species
UACGGAGGGUGCAAACGUUGCUCGGAAUCAUUGGGCGUAAAGCGCACGUAGGCGGUGCAGUAAGUCGGAUGUGAAAGCCCUCGGCUCAACCGAGGAAGUGCAUUCGAAACUGCUGUGCUUGAGUACGGAAGAGGGUCUCGGAAUUCCCGGUGUAGAGGUGAAAUUCGUAGAUAUCGGGAGGAACACCAGUGGCGAAGGCGGAGACCUGGGCCGAUACUGACGCUGAGGUGCGAAAGCGUGGGGAGCAAACAGG